UAUCGUAACACCAACAGUUAAAAUGAUUUACAUUAAGCAUUAAUACUUAUGGAACAGUAUACAAAACUUAAAACAUAUAAAGUGCAUAGUUCCGUUCAUCCAAAAACCUUGCAUCUAAUCCUUAAUCCUGGGCCCUGGUCAAAGUGGCACUUGGUCAAAAAAAAAAAAAAAAGAAAAGGUUGGGAACCACUGGAUUAGAUUAAGCUGGUUAACCAGUUAAAAUUCAUGGGUAAAUUAGGAGGGUUUUUUUUUACCUGAAAAAAAUCGGGGGGGGGGGGGAGAGAUUGAACCCCUAGUCCGCCCCCUCUCCCUGGGGGCUUGAUAGAGGAGGGGGAGGAAGCGAAGAAAGAAGAGGAGGCGGCUGCAACCUUGCAACCUCCCUCCCUCCCUCCCUCCCUCCUUGGUGGCCACUUGGCAACUGGCUGCGUCUUCAGCCUCUGUUCGGAGGAAGGAGGGGAGGAGGGAGGGGAGGGGGCGGGCUGCUGUUCCUGAUUGACAGCCAGCCCCAAGCGCCUCCCCUCCGCCGCCCAAUACAGAGGCAAGGGGAAGGAGAGCCCUCCUCUUUCUCCCCCUCCUUCCCUCCCUCCUUCCCUUCCCGCUCUUCUCCCCGCGCCGCUUUGCCAGAGGAGCGCCGGCUGGGCAUGGCUGGGGUCUGCUGCUGCUGCUGCUGCGGGGCUCUGGAGCAGAGGGCGAAGGAGCAGGUCAUUAUUGCAGAUUGUUGGACCUGGUACAGAAGAAUACACUUCAAGGUAUGAUUUUUUCAGUGUAUUAAUUGUUAAGCCACAUACCAAAAGAAAUUUAAUCAUAUAUUAUAAAGUUAGUUUUCUGUGUUCUGUGUAAAUAUGCACUUGCCCUCAAUCCAUAGCUCUGUGGGCUUAUGCUUGUGUGUGGCUUUCCACCAGGGGUUUCUCCAUAGUUAAGUAGCCAUAAUUAAUAAAUGAAUUUGCAACCUUUUUUUCUGAAAUGAAUGGGAAAUUUUUCAUUUUAUAAAAUUAGUGAUUCAGAUCCUAAUCAAAACUGUAGUAUGACUCCUGAAUCUGCAGGGAAUAUGUUCCCGGAACCAUUGAUAGUAAUGAACCCUAUUGAAAGGAAAGGCUGCUGGCCCAAGAAUUCCAUAAAAUCAUGCUGAAGGACUCAGAAAAUAUCUAGAGGAGACAUAUUUUCUUGUACAUGGAUACACAAAACCACAGAUCCCAGGGGAUUGUAUUGUAACUGUGGGCACCACAGUUGAAGGGAGAUGUUGACAAGCUGGAAAGCG
rnacentral:lncRNA from 1 species